UGCCAGCUUUAUCGCCCGCAACUGUCUGUCUUUCUGUCUGUCCCACCCAGGCUGCAGGAGGAGAUUCAGUUGAAAGAAGAAGCAGAGAACAAUUUGGCUGCCUUCCGAGCGGAUGUGGAUGCAGCUACUCUAGCUCGCAUUGACCUGGAGCGCAGAAUUGAAUCUCUUAACGAGGAGAUCGCGUUCCUUAAGAAAGUGCAUGAAGAGGAGAUCCGUGAGUUGCAGGCUCAGCUUCAGGAACAGCAGGUCCAGGUGGAGAUGGACAUGUCUAAGCCAGACCUCACUGCCGCCCUCAGGGACAUCCGGGCUCAGUAUGAGACCAUUGCGGCUAAGAACAUUUCUGAAGCUGAGGAGUGGUACAAGUCGAAGGUGUCAGACCUGACCCAGGCAGCCAACAAGAACAAUGAUGCCCUGCGCCAGGCCAAGCAGGAGAUGAUGGAAUACCGACACCAGAUCCAGUCCUACACCUGCGAGAUUGAUGCCCUCAAGGGCACUAAUGAUUCCCUGAUGAGGCAGAUGCGGGAACUGGAGGACCGAUUUGCCAGUGAGGCCAGUGGCUACCAGGACAACAUUGCGCGCCUGGAGGAGGAAAUCCGGCACCUCAAGGAUGAGAUGGCCCGCCACCUGCGCGAGUACCAGGACCUGCUCAAUGUGAAGAUGGCCCUGGAUGUGGAGAUCGCCACCUACCGGAAGCUGCUGGAGGGAGAGGAGAGCCGGAUCAAUCUCCCCAUCCAAACCUACUCUGCCCUCAACUUCCGAG
rnacentral:sRNA from 1 species